AUUUUCAUUGAAACUUACCGAAUCGCAAACUCAACUCCGAAGCCACACAUCCCAAAUUAAAAAUGAAAAUAGCCAAAAACAAACAGCAGAAAUCCAUUUUAACACUUUAACUAACCGCAAGAGCCGCAGCUCUUUACUUUAUUUAAUAAAAUUACGGAAAUAUAUUCCUGUAAUAAGUAAGGUAUGAACAGAGUCAAGAAAACAUAAAAUAUUAUGCGUAAUUUUUCAAACAUUAUAGCGUUUAACAAGCCAUGAUUUUAUCUGGCCGAAAAUAAUUAAAAAGAAACGUUUAUUUCUGAACGCAUCCGGAACUUUUUUUCAAGUCUGGCGGGAAAUAAUUUAGAAUGAAUACUGAAUUUGAACUUGAAUCCUUGAAGUAAAAUGAUGAAA